rnacentral:lncRNA from 1 species
GUCACUCUUACCCUCCUCAAUGGCAUCCUCAUUACCACAACCACCUCCUCUCCCCUCUCUCCACUUCACCUUCUCUCCACUCUCUUGAAAUCCUAACAUUUUCACUUCUUCACUCUCCCUCUCACUCUCUUGAAACUCUAACAUUUUCACUUCUUCACUCUCCCUCUCACUCUCUUGAAACCCUACCAUUUUCACUUCUUCACUCUCCCUCUUACUACUCAACACAUACCACCUCUCCCACUCACUCAACACCACCACCACCUCCCCCACUAACUCAACACCAUCACCAAGUCCCCCACUCACUCAACACCACCACCACCUCCCCCGCUCACUCAACACCACCACCACAUCCGCCCACUCAACACCACCACCACCUUCACCCACUCAACACCACCACCACCUCCGCCCACCACCUCUAUCGUUUCUCUUUCUUCUUUUUUUUUUUUCAUUUCUUCUUCUUCUUCUUCUUCUUCAAAUCCGAAAAACUCUCACUCAACACCACCACCUCCCCCACUCACUCAACACCACCACCUCCCCCACUCACUCAACACCACCACCACCUCCCCCACUCACUCAACACCACCACCACAUCCGCCCACUCAACACCACCACCACCUCCACCCACUCAAAACCACCACCACCUCCGCCCACCACCUCUGUCGUUUCUCUUUCUUUUUUUUUCAUUUCUUCUUCUUCUUCUUCUUCAAAUCCGAAAAACUCUCGCUCAUAGCUAGAAAAAAUUUCAAACACUAAUAUUCAAAACAAAUCUCAAAUACUCAAAACCCUCUUAAUCUUAAUUUCUAUUUUUAGAUAUGUUUGUUUAAUCUGUACUUUUUUAUUUGCAAAUAGAUAUUAGUUUAUUUCUUUUAGUUUUUGUUGAUGCAUGUCUUUAUUUUUGAAGAUUUAUGUUUUUUGUUUGAAGAUUUAAGUUUCGGAUUUGAGAUAUUUUCUGGUUUUUUCAUUUUAUUUUCAAAUAUUUAUGUUGUGUUUGUUAAAGUAUGAAUAAACAAGAAAAACAAGUUUUUUUUUGGGUUAAUAUUUUCCUAUUUCUUUUCUUAUAUGUAUAGAUGAACUGUGUCUCUGUCAUAUCUCAAACACUAUCUCCCUCAUAUUUCAGACACUAUGGUUUGGUUUUGUUAAUUUCCAAGAUUAACAUGUUAGUUUAGUCGUAUUGUCUGUAUUUUUUUUAUUUGCAAAUAGAGUUCUGUUUGAUGAGUUUAUUUCUUGUAAUUGUUACUGUAUGUCAUUAUUUAUUAUUAUUGGAAAUACUAAUGAAAUUAAUUAAUAUAUAUUUUUAUUUGUGAAUAGAGAUUUAUUUGAUGAGUUUAUUUCUUGGAGUUUAUUUGAUGAGUUUAUUUUCAAUAGUAAAAAUAUUAUUUUUAUUAUUUAAGAUAAUAAUAAAAUUAAUUAAUAUAUCUUUUGUAGUUUUGUUACUGUAUGUCAUUAAAUUAAUAAAUUAUUAUUUAUGUCAUUAUUGUACUAUAGAUUAAUUAAUAUUUGUUAUUGUGUGUCAUUAUUGUACGGCAUAUAUUAAUUAAUAUUUGUUACUGUAUGAUAUUAUUGUUAUGUCAUUAUCGUAUUUACUUUCCACUAAUUUUUGUUUUUUCACUCAAUAUUUUCCCUCCACUUAUUUUUACUUUUCACUCAUAAUUAUUUUCACUUUCAGUCAUAAAAAUAUUCCCACUCUUUUUA